rnacentral:rRNA from 1 species
ACUCCUACGGGAGGCAGCAGUGGGGAAUAUUGCACAAUGGGGGAAACCCUGAUGCAGCCAUGCCGCGUGUGUGAAGAAGGCCUUCGGGUUGUAAAGCACUUUCAGUAGGAGGAAGGUAGUGUAGUUAACACCUGCAUUAUUUGUACGUUACCUACAGAAGAAGCACCGGCUAACUCCGUGCCAGCAGCCGCGGUAAUACGGAGGUGCGAGCGUUAAUACGGAAUUACGUGGCGUAAAGCGCAUGCAGGCGGCCUGUUAAGUCAGAUGUGAAAGCCCGGGGCUUAACCUCGGAAUUGCAUUUGAAACUGGCAGGCUAGAGUCUUGUAGAGGGUUAGGAA